rnacentral:rRNA from 1 species
UACGGGGGGGGGCAAGCGUUGUUCGGAAUACUGGGCGUAAAGCGUGCGCAGGCGGUUUUGUAAGCCAGAUGUGAAAUCCCCGGGCUUAACCUGGGAAUGGCAUUUGGGACUGCAAGGCUUGAGUGCGGCAGAGGAGACUGGAAUUCCUGGUGUAGCAGUGAAAUGCGUAGAUAUCAGGAGGAACACCGAUGGCGAAGGCAGGUCGCUGGGACGUAACUGACGCUGAGACGCGAAAGCGUGGGGAGCAAACAGG